UGACGUCCAAUGUUUCGACCGUUUAUCCAAACUUGACCUUUCCCCAUUGUGUUCAUGUCCAAAGCCAAUGGUUCGUUUCCUGCCGGUGUGGUAAAAGUAGACAGCAAUAGAAAGAGAAAAGUUAUGUUCAUUUGUUCAUUUUAUCAUAUUUGUUUAUGGAGAUGAUGUUUGAUUCUUGUGUAUUUCUCUUACCUUGUACCAGGUCAAUGGUUGCUUCUUGACCACUAAUGAUCCUUGAUUCCAUCUCACGGUGGAACUGUCGGUAUGAAGACUCAAACCUUCACCCUUAACACCAAUCUGUUCAAAAUCACAUUUAAAAUUCAUUGUUAUGAUUAGUUUGUUGUUACCAGGAAACUCAAAACUUGAGAGUUGGUUUUGAAUUUCAGGGAGGACCUUAUAAGACCAUUUCCAUUUUGACAUUUCCCAUGUUCCCGAGUUAACUCCUUUCAGUGUGACCGGUCCAAGAACCCCUUUAUUCCACUUCUCAAAGUGUGUACCGACAUUCUGCAACCAAACCAAGAACCAUAAAGCUCAAAGAUCUAAUUAUCUUCUGCGGACAAAAAACUGCUAUUACAAGAGAUAGGAUUAUCUCAUCAGGAACUAACCGG
rnacentral:lncRNA from 1 species